CCUACGGGAGGCAGCAGUGGGGAAUUUUGGACAAUGGGCGCAAGCCUGAUCCAGCAAUGCCGCGUGAGUGAAGAAGGCCUUCGGGUUGUAAAGCUCUUUUGUCAGGGAAGAAACGGUGAGGGCUAAUAUCCCUUGCUAAUGACGGUACCUGAAGAAUAAGCACCGGCUAACUACGUGCCAGCAGCCGCGGUAAUACGUAGGGUGCAAGCGUUAAUCGGAAUUACUGGGCGUAAAGCGUGCGCAGGCGGUUUUGUAAGUCUGUCGUGAAAUCCCCGGGCUCAACCUGGGAAUUGCGAUGGAGACUGCAAGGCUAGAAUCUGGCAGAGGGGGGUAGAAUUCCACGUGUAGCAGUGAAAUGCGUAGAGAUGUGGAGGAACGCCGAUGGCGAAGGCAGCCCCCGUGGGUCAAGAUUGACGCUCAUGCACGAAAGCGUGGGGAGCAAACAGGAUUAGAUACCCUGGUAGUCCACGCCCUAAACGAUGUCACUAGUCGUGGUUAAGUACCUUGAACGCUUAGNGUACGCGNGAGAGACGACGUAGGUAGGACGUCGUCGAGUUAGUUACGUACGAAGUUAAGUAGAGAGAGUGAGAGNGCGAGAGACGACGAGGAGGAGAGGAG
rnacentral:rRNA from 1 species